UGGGGAAUAUUGGGCAAUGGGCGCAAGCCUGACCCAGCAACGCCGCGUGAAGGAAGAAGGUCUUCGGAUUGUAAACUUCUGUCAUUGGGGACGAAGGAAGUGGCGGUACCCAAUGAGGAAGCCCCGGCUAACUACGUGCCAGCAGCCGCGGUAAUACGUAGGGGGCGAGCGUUGUCCGGAAUUACUGGGCGUAAAGGGUGCGUAGGCGGCGAUGCAAGUCCAUUGUGAAAAGCCCGGGCUUAACCUGGGAGGUGCAGUGGAGACUGCAUGGCUUGAGUGCAGGAGAGGAAAGUGGAAUUCCUAGUGUAGCGGUGAAAUGCGUAGAUAUUAGGAGGAACACCAGUGGCGAAGGCGGCUUUCUGGACUGUAACUGACGCUGAGGCACGAAAGCGUGGGGAGCAAACAG
rnacentral:rRNA from 1 species